ensembl:lncRNA
CAGCAGUACAGUUUAUGAAGCAAUAUCCUCCUAUCCACUGCAGAAUGCAGCAAUCUACUGCACUGUUGCAUACUUGCGUUACAGUAGCCUUGGCUAUGUGGACAUAGCCUUGGUUAUUAGAAGCUGUAGACUGGAGCAUACAGGAAUGAGACAACACUGAGAAAGUGGGGACAACAGUAUUUCAUCAAAAAGAAGCUCAUUUCCUUCCAGGAGCAGACCACACAGAAAACAUGGACACGGAUUACUUUAUCAGGUCCUGCUGUCACCCAAAGGCUCAUCCCUGCAGAGCUCAGGGGUCUGGCUUCAUGACUCGGCUUUAAACGGACGCUCAGCUUUCCUAGGG